rnacentral:lncRNA from 1 species
UUUGUGCUGUGGUCGGGCACCCGGAUUGAUAGCAGAAUUGUCAAAAAUGGUGCACCACCACGGACCGCAUAUUUCACUCGGACGUAACGACAUCCGGUAGGACAGCAGGAAUUUGAUUUUCAUAAGGUACGGCAGCAAGAAUGAUGGCAGUGAACGGCCAGGUAUGGCUCUAAAAUAUGUAAUCUUGUAAUAACUUUGAAUGGUCCUUUAAAAUAUAUGAUGAAUAUAGUGAUAAAUUAUAACAAUCAAGAGAUACAUACACAAGAAAUUUGAUUAAAACUACCGCAUCCUCUGGUUCCUUGAGAUGGGCACUGCACUUCUGCUUCUCGGAUAGAGCGGAACUCCAACAACAGCAUCUCCAGCGAAUUCCAUGGGUCGAUCUUCAUCGAUUCUUCCAAACGCUGCC